rnacentral:precursor_RNA from 1 species
AUCCACUUACCGUUCCUUGGUUUGAACUAACGAUAGGUUUGUAUGUGGAGCGAUGUACGCCGGUGGCGUUUUCCUCGCAUACAAUGCCCUCGACGUGCCGUGCAAUCUCAUCCUUUCAUGCACGUCUACCCGAAGUGCUGCUGUGUUUUUGGUGGCUUUCAGUCCUGUACCGGAAUGUUGAGCUAUUAGUAUUUUAGUGUUCCGGUGUAUGAUUUCGACAGCGGGUCGGGUGUAGUUUCACUUUUAGUGGAUUUCCUUGUGUUUCCUGUAUUUGUUCUUGACGUGCCUUCUAGAGCGUCCAUUGUGUUCCAUGUAUGACAGUUUUACUCUGGAGUUGCGAAGUCCCCUUCGCUCGCUAUUGGUUUUUGUUUGUGCAGGUCCUAUGGUGUUGGGUUGUCUUUCCUUGUGAAAUCAUGUUCAAUGCCUCGAUGAUUUUUAAAAUUAAGUAGUGGUCUGAGAAUACUGAUGACGACAUCUCUAUGAGAGGCAAAGUUAUCUCGAUGCAGUCAAGGCGUAUGCCGCAUGUGGUAUCAUGAAUACAGAACACGGAGAGUUAUGCUUCUCAGUCCUCUGGUUGAUCCUUGUAGUUUUUAUCAGGUUAUGUAACGUUUUCUACUACCUUGGCCAUGGUGGUUUUUCCUAAUCCGAUUUUCCCUCACCGAGAUUUUGGAUUGGGAAAUUCACCUUGCCAACGUGGUGUACAACUUUAAGAUGACCCAUGAUACUAUGUUUGGUUCAGAAGGGUUCCUGCGUGGAUCGUGGUAUGCAUUGUUGUCACAUUCUGCGGUCAAGGUCGUUUUCCCUAUUCCGCCCAUAUCAUGUUAAAGUUUACACCUUUAACAAGGUAUGGGAGGUAUGGAAUGCGACCUUGGCGACAGCGGUGUCGUCAUGCGGUUUCGACGUUCGUCUCGUUCUUCGGUUUCGACGGCGGUAUACUUGUGGAUCUUCCCGAUCCAUUCAAGGGUGACCUGAUGAGUUGGAGGAAUAGGAUUUAAUAGUUUUUGAUUGUGCUCUUCCACACGGCUUUUGUUGGACCAAGUUGGGAGGUGGAUGAUUGACGUAUUUUUUAUUACGGAACUGGUGAACUUGUCUCCUGGAAGUUUUAGGAUGAGGAGGUUCGGAAGCAGGAUUAUCGUUCGAAAGCAGGAAUAUCAUCUUCCGCUUCUUGCUUUGUUGUACAGUACGGUGCCAUAAAUAAUAAAUUUUCGAGUGACACAUUUGGCUUCUAAUAUAC